GAGAGUGGGGUACUUUGGGUGAUGGUGAUGGCCAGAGUGAGCCAUCUGGUAUAAAAAUGUCAUCAUUUAAAGAUGUUGAGGUGGAUGAAAAUGACUCUGAGAUUGGUAGAAGUGACAUACUAUUGUCACCACCUGUCAGUGAUGAAGAGGAUGGUGGGAUUUCAUCUCACCCUGAUGUGGAGUUCCAUGAAGUUGACAUUGUCAAUCCAAACCUGAAACUUAGAAUGAAGUUCGCUAACAUUCAACUAUUUAGAGAAGUUGUUAAGCAAUACAACGUGAGAAGGGGAAAUGACAUAAGGUUUGAGAAAAAUGAAAGAGCCAAGUAUGUAGAGAUCCAGGUUGUGGUUAUAGAGUCUAUGGUAGAUAGAUGGCGACUGAGGUAUCAUUUGAAAUAAGGUCCUUAAGACUUAAACAUUCUUGUACUCGAGUAUACAAGAGCUCAAUUGUCAAUUCGAGGUGGAUAGCAGAUAAACUUUAUGAUAAGUUUAAGGUUCAACCAGAUAUGCCACUGCGAGUGAUACAAGAUGAAGUCAAGAGGAAAUGGAAUGUUGAAGUCAGCAGGAGUCAAAUGUAUAUAUGGGUAGGAAGAAGGCAGAAAAGAAGAUAUACGGUGGUUUUGGUGAACAGUAAGGCAGGCUGUGGGAUUACUAUGAAACUUUAAGGCGUACUAACCCGGGUAGCUAUGUAAUGAUGAAGGUUGAAAGACCAAACCCUAAUUUGCCUACUAAGUUUCAGAGACUCUACUUGUCCCUUGCAGCCAUGAAGAAAGGGUUCUUGGAAGGUUGUAGGCUUGUCAUAGGCCUAGAUGGGUGCUUUCUAAAAGGACCUUACAAGGGAAUACUAUUGGCUGUAAUUGGUCGAGAUGCCAACAACAACAUGUACCCAAUUACAAUCGCCGUUGUAGAAUCUGAGACAAAAGACCGUUGGACCUGAUUCCUGGAGUGCCUUGUUCAGAUCUUGGUCAUCAUGAGAGACACACUGCUCUUACAUUCAUUUCUGAUCGGCAAAAGGGUCUUGUGCCAAGUUUUGAUGUUGUUAUGCCAAUGGCGGAUCACCGAAUCUAUGUAAGGCAUUUGUAUGCCAACUUUCGAGAUAAAGGAUUUCGGGGGGUGGCCUUGAAGGAAUUGUUGUGGAAGGCAGCAUCGUCUUAUACUGAGGUUGACUUCAAAUUUCAGAUGAAAGAGAUUAAGAAAGUCAAUUCUGAUGUCUUUGACUACCUAGACAAGAUUGACCUCAACAGAUGGUCAAGAGCAUGGUUCAGCGACUAUCCUAAAUGUGACCUCCUUGUCAACAAUAUAUGCGAGUGUUUCAACUCAUACAUCCUGAAGGCACGUGACAAGCCAAUUCUGACAAUGCUUGAGAUGAUUAGGAAGCAGCUCAUGAGAAGGUACCAACUUAAAAGAGAUGGCAUCGCCAAAUUGAAGGGCAAGUUGUGCCCUAGAAUUGUUGAGAAGCUUGAGGCCAUUGGUGAGGCUGCAUCGGACUGCCUAUCCUGUUUUGCUGGUGAUGGCAUAUUUGAAGUAGAGUAGGGAAGAAGGCAAUAUGCUGUGGAUUUGAGGAGGAGGACAUGUGGUUGCAGAAAGUGGGAGGUGACUGGGAUCCCAUGUGCACAUGCACAUUCUGCCAUAACAUUUCAUGGGCAUAAACUAGAGGAUUAUGUAGAUCCAUGUUAUAGCAUUGAGAUGUACAAGAAGGUUUAUGCUCCCAUCAUAUAUCCAAUGCCUAGUGAAGAACAAUGGGUAAAGACCGCACAUGAUGUAUUGGAUCUGCCUAGAUCAAGAUCGAUGCCAGGCAGACCUCGAAAGGCCAGAGUAAGAGGUCUUGAUAAGUCGAGAGUUCUUCAGAUUCCUUAUAGAAUGAGAAAGUUCGGAUUGAAGGGUAGAUGUGGGCUUUGCAAGCUGGUUGGACACAACAGCAGGACCUGUCCAAGGAAGAAGGAGCAGGCAUUUAAUUACAAGUAGCCCUCGAUAGAAGUUGAUUUGCCUACUCCACCCCCAGCUAGUUUGCCCACUCCACCCCCAACAAGUAGCCAAAGCGUUGGAUGUAGCAAUAGUACAAGGGGAGGUGCACAACCAGCCCCCAACAGUCGAAGGGGGGUGCACAAUCAGCCCUCAAAAAAGUAGGCAAUUCAUUACAAGUAAAAAAUUCAGGUUAAUUACUUACUUGGGGAUGAUACUGAUUAAUCACAUGUCUGUUUUGGUUCUUAGAAAGGUUUAAGGACAAUAACUGGUGCUACACAGCAACCUACUGCCCCACCUAUUGCAACAAUUGAGAGAAAUUUGGAAAAUCAUGUUGAACUUAGAGUGCCUAGCUCUAACAGGCACCCGCUAGCACCUAGACCACCUCCACCUAUUACAACAGUUGAGAGAAAUUUGGAAAAUCCUGUUAGACUUAGAGUGCCCAGCUGGAACAGGCAACCGCCAGCACCCAAACUAUGCAUACCAGUUAGAAGAGUGUCUAAUCGAAUCAGGGCCAUGGUGCGGAGUGUUCCAAUUGAAAAUGCUCCACCUGUUUGGAUUGACCUCACAGUUAGGACUAGUACUGAUGGAGGAGAGAGAGUAUUUGGGUUGACCCCAAGAACCCCACAAGUUGCAGAACAUGGUGCGACGACAACAUCCUUAACACCAGCAAAAGGAAAAAGGAUUGCCCAUACCAUUGAAAAAGGAUUACAGGUCAUGGAGUCAAAACCGAAAAGAAAAAGACUAGAAUGGAAGCAUUGAAGUUUUUGAUAUUGGACAUGUUUUUGUUUUUUGGAAUAUAAUGGCAUUUUGUAUAUAGGAAAGGGUUGGUGUAACACCUCGUAUUUUAAGAUAUUAAAUAAAAUAUCUUAAAAUAUGAUUUAAGACCUAAUAAUAAGGCAAAUGAAUAAAUAUGAAUAUUUAUGAAAAUAAAUAUUCAUUUAUUAAGAAGCAUUUAUAG